rnacentral:rRNA from 1 species
CAGCAGUAGCCGCGGUAAUACGAAGGGGGCUAGCGUUGUUCGGAUUUACUGGGCGUAAAGCGCGCGUAGGUGGUUCGCCAAGUUGGAUGUGAAAUCCCCGGGCUCAACCUGGGAACUGCAUCCAAAACUGGCGAGCUAGAGUAUGGUAGAGGGUGGUGGAAUUUCCUGUGUAGCGGUGAAAUGCGUAGAUAUAGGAAGGAACAUCAGUGGCGAAGGCGACCACCUGGACUGAUACUGACACUGAGGUGCGAAAGCGUGGGGAGCAAACAGGAUUAGAUACCCCCGUAGUCCCUGUCUCUUAUAC